AAUUGGAAUGAUGGGAAUUUAAACCUCUUCCAGAGUAUCAAUUGGAGGGCAAGUCUGGUGCCAGCAGCCGCGGUAAUUCCAGCUCCAAUAGCGUAUAUUAAAAUUGUUGCAGUUAAAAAGCUCGUAGUUGAAUUUCUGCUGCAUCGUCGCAUCUCUUGCUGAGUGCUUCGUUUCGGCUUAUUUCGGAUUGAUUUUUUCUUUCCGGAUGAUUACUUUGAGAAAAUUAGAGUGCUCAAAGCAGGCUUUUGCCUUGAAUAGUUUAGCAUGGAAUAAUAAAGUAGGACUUUGGUUCUAUUUUGUUGGUUUUAGGUACCAAAGUAAUGGUUAAUAGGAACAGUUGGGGGCAUUCGUAUUUAACUGUCAGAGGUGAAAUUCUUAGAUUUGUUAAAGACGAACUACUGCGAAAGCAUUUGCCAAGGAUGUUUUCAUUAAUCAAGAACGAAAGUUAGGGGAUCGAAGACGAUCAGAUACCGUCGUAGUCCUACCC
rnacentral:rRNA from 1 species